AUACGAAAGGUGCAAGCGUUGUUCGGAUUUACUGGGCGUAAAGAGAGUGUAGGUUGUUUAUUAAGUCGGAUGCGAAAUCCCGGGGCUCAACCUCGGAACUGCAUUCGAUACUGGUAGACUAGAGUUCGGGAGGGGUAAGCGGAAUUCCGUGUGUAGCAGUGAAAUGCGUAGAUAUACGGAGGAACACCUGAGGCGAAGGCGGCUUACUGGACCGAUACUGACACUGAGACUCGAAAGCGUGGGUAGCAAACAGGAUUAGAAACCCCUGUAGUCC
rnacentral:rRNA from 1 species